rnacentral:rRNA from 2 species
CUUACCAUGCAGUCGAACGGCAGCACGGGAGCAAUCCUGGUGGCGAGUGGCGAACGGGUGAGUAAUACAUCGGAACGUGCCCAAUCGUGGGGGAUAACGCAGCGAAAGCUGUGCUAAUACCGCAUAAGAUCUACGGAUGAAAGCAGGGGAUCGCAAGACCUUGCGCGAAUGGAGCGGCCGAUGGCAGAUUAGGUAGUUGGUGAGGUAAAGGCUCACCAAGCCUUCGAUCUGUAGCUGGUCUGAGAGGACGACCAGCCACACUGGGACUGAGACACGGCCCAGACUCCUACGGGAGGCAGCAGUGGGGAAUUUUGGACAAUGGGCGAAAGCCUGAUCCAGCCAUGCCGCGUGCAGGAUGAAGGCCUUCGGGUUGUAAACUGCUUUUGUACGGAACGAAACGGCCUUUUCUAAUAAAGAGGGCUAAUGACGGUACCGUAAGAAUAAGCACCGGCUAACUACGUGCCAGCAGCCGCGGUAAUACGUAGGGUGCAAGCGUUAAUCGGAAUUACUGGGCGUAAAGCGUGCGCAGGCGGUUAUGUAAGACAGUUGUGAAAUCCCCGGGCUCAACCUGGGAACUGCAUCUGUGACUGCAUAGCUAGAGUACGGUAGAGGGGGAUGGAAUUCCGCGUGUAGCAGUGAAAUGCGUAGAUAUGCGGAGGAACACCGAUGGCGAAGGCAAUCCCCUGGACCUGUACUGACGCUCAUGCACGAAAGCGUGGGGAGCAAACAGGAUUAGAUACCCUGGUAGUCCACGCCCUAAACGAUGUCAACUGGUUGUUGGGUCUUCACUGACUCAGUAACGAAGCUAACGCGUGAAGUUGACCGCCUGGGGAGUACGGCCGCAAGGUUGAAACUCAGAAG